AGAAUCAACGCUGGCGGCGUGCCUAACACAUGCAAGUCGCACGAGAAAGGGUAGCAAUACAUGAGUAAAGUGGCGCACGGGUGAGUAACACGUGACUAACCUACCCUGGAGUGGGGGAUAACUGAGGGAAACCUUAGCUAAUACCGCAUAACACCUACGGGUCAAAGGAGCAAUUCGCUUCAGGAGGGGUCGCGGCAGAUUAGCUAGUUGGCGGGGUAAUGGCCCACCAAGGCAGUGAUCUGUA
rnacentral:rRNA from 1 species